UUCGAUUAAGCCAUGCGAGUCGCGAGUCUUAGGGACUCGGCGUACCGCUCAGUAACACGUGGGUAACCUGCCCUAUGCUGGGGAAUAACCUCGGGAAACUGAGAAUAAUGCCCCAUAGUUCACCACGCCUGGAACGGUGGGUGGAUGAAAGCUCCGGCGGCAUAGGAUGGGCCUGCGGCGUAUCAGGUCGUAGGGGGUGUAAUGUACCCUCUAGCCAUCGACGCGUACGGGUGUUGGGAGACAUUGCCCGGAGAUGGAUUCUGAGACACGAAUCCAGACCCUACGGGGUGCAGCAGGCGCGAAAACUUGGCAAUGCGAGAAAUCGUGACCAGGGAACUCCAAGUGCAUCGGGUAAGACCGAUGCUUUUCUUGACUCUUCAAAGGUCUUGGAAUAAGGGGUGGGUAAGGACGGUGCCAGCCGCCGCGGUAAUACCGGCGCCUCAAGUGGUAGUCGCUUUUAUUGGGCCUAAAACGUCCGUAGCCGGUUUGGUACAUUCGUGGGUAAAUCAAGGCGCUCAACGUCUUGAAUUCUGCGAGCACGGCCAGACUUGGGACCGGGUGAGGUGUGGGGUACUCUCAGGGUAGGGGUAAAAUCCUGUCAUCCUGAGAGGACCACCUGUUGCGAAGGCGCCACACUAGAACGGAUCCGACGGUCAGGGACGAAGCCUAGGGGCACGAACCGGAUUAGAUACCCGGGUAGUCCUAGGUGUAAACGCUGUGGACUUGAUGUUGGGAGUGCUCCGAGCACCCUCAGUGUCGAAGCGAAGGUGAUAAGUCCACUGCCUGGGGAGUACGGUCGCAAGGCUGAAACUUAAAGGAAUUGGCGGGGGAGCACUGCAACCUGGGGAUUGUGCG
rnacentral:rRNA from 1 species